rnacentral:rRNA from 1 species
CCUACGGGAGGCAGCAGUGGGGGAUAUUGCACAAUGGGGGGAACCCUGAUGCAGCGACGCCGCGUGGGUGAAGGAGUGCUUCGGCAUGUAAAGCUCUAUCGGCAGGGAAGAAGCAAGACGGUACCUGACUAAGAAGCACCGGCUAACUACGUGCCAGCAGCCGCGGUAAUACGGAGGGGGCGAGCGUUAACCGGAUUCACUGGGUGUAAAGGGAGCGUAGGCGGCCAUGCAAGCCAGGGGUGAAAGCCCGGGUCACAACCCCGGGACUGCCCUUGGAACUGCAUGGCUAGAGUGCGGGAGGGGCAGGCGGAAUUCCUGGUGUAGCGGUGAAAUGCGUAGAUAUCAGGAGGAACACCGGCGGCGAAGGCGGCCUGCUGGACCGCGACUGACGUUGAGGCUCGAAAGCGUGGGGAGCGAACAGGAUUAGAUACCCGGGUAGUC